AGCGAACGCUGGCGGCAGGCCUAACACAUGCAAGUCGAGCGCCCCGCAAGGGGGGCGGCAGACGGGAGAGUAACACGUGGGAACGUACCCUUCAGUUCGGAACAACCCAGGGAAACUUGGGCUAAUACCGGAUACGUCCGUAAGGAGAAAGAUUUAUCGCUGAAGGAUCGGCCCGCGUCUGAUUAGCUAGUUGGUGAGGUAACGGCUCACCAAGGCGACGAUCAGUAGCUGGUCUGAGAGGAUGAUCAGCCUCACUGGGACUGAGACACGGCCCAGACUCCUACGGGAGGCAGCAGUGGGGAAUAUUGGACAAUGGGCGCAAGCCUGAUCCAGCCAUGCCGCGUGGGUGAUGAAGGCCCUAGGAUUGUAAAGCCCUUUCGGCGGGGAAGAUAAUGACGGUACCCGCAGAAGAAGCCCCGGCUAACUUCGUGCCAGCCGCCGCGGUAAAAC
rnacentral:rRNA from 1 species